CACAGGCUGGGGCGGCCCGGGCGAGGGGGAGCCGCGCGGUCUUCGGCUGCUACCCUUCCUGAAGGAGGAGGCUGAGUGGGGCUCAGAUGGGGAGGGGUCCUAGCGAGGAGAGGCGGGCUUGCCCGGCCCGUCUGAAAGGCACGUUAGAGUAAAUGGGAAUGACUGACCCUCCAAAAUUAUUCGGAUCUUUCCAACAACUCACACCUCCGUUAAGAGCUGCGCCACGCCGAGCCCGCCCUGCGUCGGGGGCGGGUUAGGGGCAGGGGCAACCAACAGCGGCAGGGAGGCUGUGCGGGCUCCCAAGAGGAUGCCUGGGGCCAGUCCUGAGAGGCCUUCCCUGAACCUCCGCUGGAAACAGAUGAGAAAAAACUUUCAGAAGUUAAAUAAUUUGCUCAACAUUAUCCAACCUUGGAUUCAAAUGAAGGAAGACAGAGCAUUGCCAGAUUGCCAAACCACAGAACCAGAAAGGUCCAACAUGGCAAUGGGGUGCCCUGCACAGAGGGUGCUGUGUGCAAGAAGGGAAGAUCUGCGCAUGCCCCAACUGCCCCCGCCCAGACCCCUCCCCACCAAGCGAUGACAUGGAGAUCCUUCCCCCUUCACAUCCCAUAGGAACCCUGCUCACCUCCCUUUCCCCUUCACGAUAAGGUGAUUUAGAGCGUGAACUCUGCCUCCUCCAUUCAUUGAUCAAUAAAUGACGUUUCUGCUUUG